GAGCCGGCUCCACAGCUUGUGCUCUGCACCACAAGGCCCACUUACCAUACACACCCACCGUGAACUCCCGAAUCUGUUGGGAGACUCCUCCCCUGAUGACUUCAACUGUGUACACCCCGGCAUCAUCCAGUCGUGCAGAGAGGAUGUAUGGAGAGGCCUGGCUGACCCUCCACUCCUCACCCCUAGGGGAAGGUGGACUCCCAGCUGGAACCGUGAGGACUGUGCAGGAAGACUUCCUCCAGGAGUGUCUGAGACAUCAGAGCCCUUCCUGUGAACUCCUUGCCUGGCUCAGGUUUCUUGCUUCCAGCCCUAGGCUCCACUCUGUCUUACCUUAACUCUGUCUGACCCUGGCCCCUUCUCCAGAUCUUUCUGUGACUUCCUGAUGCCCUCAGAACCAAGUUUCCAGUUGAUGUCUCUAUUGAGGCCAUCUCCCCUGAGACCUAGAACUCAAGUCCCAGUGCCCCACACCUGCUAAGCUCAGCAUCUCCCUUCUGACCGAUACUUUCAGGAUGGUUCCAUUGUCUAUGCAAAGGCUGGGGAGCCUUCCCACUGUCUUCCUCCUUGGCACUGCCACCUCUGAUGCUACCUAGAUCUCUCUCCCUGUUUUCUCCUCUUGGUGUCUACUCCUCAGACCUUAUCUUCUAUACCUGCACCCCCACCUACUUUCUGCAAUCUCCUUCCCUGGUUGAGACCCCUCCCUGGCCAGCUGGCCCUUCCCUCCAUGUCCCAGCCCUGCCUGGCUCCACAGCAUCGUCUGCAGACCCCCUUCUCCUCGCUCCAUCCCUUACCCCACUGAACAUGGUGUUCUUCUGAUGACAUCCCACCUCCCAGCCUUUGUGAGCAUCCUUUCCUCUACCCGGAAUGCUCUUUCCCUCUCCAGUCUGCCCGCCUCAUAACUGGUCCGUCAGGUCUCACCUCAGUAAUAGCCACAAUAAUAAUGACAACUUAAGUUCAGCCGGGAACUAUGCUAAAUAAAUUCUAUCUGUGCAUUA